CAUUCCUCAGCCAAAAUUUUGAAUUUUUCCUAAACCAAAACUUUAUUCCCCGUUCCCCCCUCCUCUCCCUCCCCCUCCUUUCACUGUCCACACCCUCUCUCUCUCUCUCUCUCUCUCUCUCUCUCUCUCUCUCUCUCUCUCUCUCUCUCCAUCUCUCUCACACGUAGUCUCUCGCACUCCUCUCUCUCUCGUCAAGCUUUAACCCCAUGCUAGACUUCAACCAGAUGCCUGAAUUACCAACUCGCCAGACCUACCACCACCGAGCCCAAUUCGAGAUCUGCUUCCGUUUCGAAGACGACGACCUCCUAUUAGACGACAUCGUUGCAGACUUCAAUGGACGGGUCAUGGGUCGGGUCACGGAUUGUGUGUGACUCAGGGACUCACAAGCAUAGAAAUUCAUUCGAUGAGUCUUCUCUUAGUCUCGAUUCGAUGGUGGUUUUAAUAAUAGCAGUGUAAAAAGGCUCCGGCGCCUGAUAAAUUGGCUAAAAGGGUUUCUAUUCUUGAGUUGGGGGUUUUACCAAUUACGAAAGAACUUUACCAGCAAAUGCUUGCAAAAGCCCUGUCACAUUAUUUUGACGCGAAGUUGCUGUUGUUAGAUGUGCCUGAGUUCUCUAUGAAGGUCUAUGCAAUAGCUAAUAUUUCUUCAGUGUAUUUUAUUGAUGUAUGAUUACUCUAAUUCAUUGAACGGGGUCAUUCUACAUAUGCAGAGCAAGUAUGGUACUUCCAGGAAAGAAGCUGUAAGUGAUAUUUCACUUUCCGCAAUAAGUUUUCUGCAUUCAGUUCAAAUAUUUUAUUAGCCAAAAUGAAUUUGAAGCUCUGUUGUAGAGUGGAUAAAUCGUCUGUACAUGCACAGAUAUCUAACUUUUUGCUGAAUUUAAUAUAAUAUAUUCCGGUGUUCUAUAGACUAAGGGUUCUUUCAAGUAUAAAUUUGAUAACAAUAGAUGAUCCAUUGGCUAGGAAAUUGGUUUCUGUUUUUGAUGUUACAUUAUUCUUUUGAUAGUAGUGCAUCAUACUGCUGGAUAAUGUGCUUCAAAUUAAAAUUACAAUCUGUUAUGAUUUAUUGCAAUUGUACAAUAUGUAAUGCACUCUGAACAUACAUUCAGCUAUUGAAACUUAGGUUCUGUGAUCGCAUACUGUGGUAUGGUAGAGGUCUGCAUCAAAUGUCUUAUGUUCGUGGUGAGUCUCGUUUCUCAGAUCAUAGACCAGUUUACAGCAUAUUUCUGGCUGAGGUUGAGUCUAUAAACCAUAGUAGAUUCAAAAGAAGAAUGAGUUGUUCCAGCUCCAGGAUUGAGGUGGAAGAGUUAUUGCCAUACUCAUAUGGAUACGGGGAACUAAAUUUCUUCCGAGAUAUGGAACAAUACUGAGUGCGAGAGCAUGCAAAAUCUUUUGGACUCGUUUCAGCAGAGAUGCAACAAUAUUAUCCCUUCAGAAUUCAACCUUAUGAGCAUAUCCUGGAGUUGGCUUCGCAUAUACCAAAAUCUUUAAUAUUCUUCUACCAGAAGUCUUCUGCAGCAUAUCAAGACACAUCGAUGCAUGCAUUAGGCAUGGUGGUAAUUCUAGUCGAUUAGGAUGAAUAAUAAUUUGACAACACUACUGAACAAAAUAUACUAAGAUAAUGGAGGAAUAGAGAUCUGACUUUAUACUUGGGGAUGACUUUAUACUUGGGGAUGAUUACAAAAUGCAGUUCAAGUACAGUUUAUGUUUAGGAGCAUGAAAUUAGAUGAAUUAGAUAAUGUACUUGGCCAAUUGAAUGCAACUUUGGUUUUGGUAUAUUGAUUUUUGUAUACUAGUUAUUUGGUUUGGUAUAUUGCUUCUGGGUAUUUGAAUUUUCA